rnacentral:tRNA from 1 species
GAGAGUAUAGUUCAGUGGUAGAGCACAUGUUGAGUAUCCAUGAGGUCCUGGGUUCAGUCCCCAGUACCUCCA